CCGAGUUUACAACUCAUCAACCCCUGUGAACAUACCUAUACGUUGCUUCGGCGGGAUCAGACCGGGCCCUGGGACACGGGCCGCCCCGCCAGGAGGACCCCUAACUCUGUAUUUAUAUGUAUUUUCUGAGUAAACAAGCAAAUAAAUUA
rnacentral:misc_RNA from 1 species